rnacentral:lncRNA from 1 species
AACCCCUUAUUCAAUUUGCUAUCGUGUUCAACGCUUAGCCUAUCCACGCCUCCCUCAUUGCUAAACCAGGGUUUUUUUUGUUCCUUUACAUCUAUAUUCUUCCUAAACCUAAACUCAUCUCCCUCAAAUUUCUGCCGUUUCAAAAUCUUUGUUCUCUCCUUUAUUCUCAAUCUAUCAUACGUUCCUAAUCUAUCCAUUUAUUCAGCCUAAUCAUCUUCACAAGAUAUUAUAAUCUUCUCCCUCGCCGUCCAAGAAGUUCCUGAUUCUCGAUUUUUAGUCAAGGUUAAGACUACGAAUCCGAAGAAGUAUUGCGUCCGUCUCAACACCAGAGUUGUAAAAUGAGGAUCUGCUAAAUGAUUAUUUAUAACGUGUCAGUUUUCCUGAACUUGAAUUAGCCAUACAUGUUUAGAAAUAGAAUUACAUGACUGUUGACUCAAAAGCAUAUACUGUCACAACAUGAUAUAGAAACAGUAAAGAUUAUACAUACUACUAAAUCGUUACUUCAGUGAAGAUGAUUAGGUAUUUGAUGGUUAUGGUGAUGGUUUUCUACUUUUCUUCAUGUAUCAUGGUAUGUCAGGUGAUUGGUGUUGUUGAUGUGAGGGAUUACUGCGGUUUUGGAGGUUUUGAAAAUGAUGAAACAUACUGAAACCUUUGUUCAAUACUUCAAUCUGGGCACACAUUCCAUAUUUUAAAAGCUAACAAUGAAUAGACAAAACCAACUAUUUGGUAAUUCACCAUGACCUCCAACUGAUUUAAAACGAAAAAAGAAGACAUACACUGGAUGUUAGCUGUAAUGGAAAUAAUAAUUACCAGGCAAUCAGUAUCUGUAUGUAUUUGGUGCAAGCAUACGCCCGAGGAAGGUUUUAUUUGGUACGAUUUGUACGCUGAUAGAUCUCAGAUCAUGGAAACUUUAUUGUUGAUGGGGCCGAAGCAUACCAAAUGACAUAUUGAUGGAUCACCUUCAAGUUAGACGCAGAGAGACAGAACAUGGUCCUGCUGCAUCUUGAAGCAGCAAUAGAGCGAGGCGUUCCCGGGAUGAUAUAUAAUAUCUUCUUUUCUAUGAGUUAACAUAAUACAAGGGGGGGAUUGAUGAUAGAGAUACGCACAAAAGACGGGUUGAAUUAUUAUUUGAUGUCCUGUAUCUUCAAUCUUUUUUUUAUGAUUGACCUCGCAAUACAAUAGUUUAUUCCAUUUGAGGGGUCAAGAGGUCGAAAAAAUCAACAUGGCACAAGCGGUGAGUAGUCCCUGGGUGUUUGAGUUUGCUGCAUACAAAAUGGGGAUGGCGGCGGUGUUACCGCGUGGUAACCCCUUCACUGUCCCGUUCACCCUUAAUCAUAUCACCUUUGUUUUUACUAUAUACAUGGUAAACUUGUAAUGCCAGUAGCCUUUGAACUUUUGAGCGUAUGCAUGAUGAAAUGUUCUUAGCACCAGGGUUGUGGAAUAGAUUAUAUAACUAUGUAAAUAUGAUACUUAACAUAAUUUUAUCUUAUUUUGAGUUGUCAUUAGUGGUAUUUCUUUCACUUUUUAUAGUUUAAGAAAUGAAUACCUUCU